GAAGUGAAAACAUGUCAGGAAACCAAUGGAUUUUUAUUCUGACAAAUAUUCAGAGCUCUACGGCAGGGGGUAGGGAACCUGCAGCCCCCGCCUGUUGCCGGGCUACAGCUACUAUUGCAUCUCUGGCCAUUGGGGGGUCACGAUCGCUGGAUAGAUGGGGGUUGAAAUCCAACAGCGUCUGAUAGGCCACCCUCCACUCUAGAAGCUUCUGUGUGUUGGCUGUUCUUUUUAAAAAAACACAAUGCAACCGUGGCCAUUGCUACUUACACUAUCUCCCCUUUUGAACUGUUUUUUAGUCAUCUUGUUUUUCAAGUGGAAAUUCCUGCACGCAGUCUAGCAUCCUUCCCAUCCCACCUGUAAGGAUAAUGUGGUCUUUUCCCUACCAACAGCCUCUCGGUAUGAGAGCUUAUUCAUUACCAUAUCAGAAGAAAUGCUCAUUUGCAGAAUAUUUUAUCUGACAUGGCAACUUCCGAGUUUCUCAUACAGAAGGCUUUAUCAUCACGUGCAGACUUAUCAUUUCAAUUAGAGACAUGAGAAAUCAGUCAGUUGUCUGUUAUACUUAGCACUACGUAUAUCACUCUUGUGAUGAAUAUAUUUGGUUAUAGUUAUUUGUGUUACGUUAAGGACUCUGCGUUGUUUAAUACUCCUUCUGCUAAUCACAGGGAAAAAGAAAAGCUAAAUUCCUGGUAUCUGAACGUAAGGAUGAACAAGGAGCAUAACAUACUUCUAGUAAUUCCUGAUCUACAGGCCCUUUCCUAUACAUUCAACAGUCAUUUUAUACAGAAGUUAAAUCGUGCCACCAUUCCUUUCUUUCCCAGCUCCCAGAAGGUAUUCGCCAAGGAGACAGAAAGAAUGAAUGUUCUAAUUCAGGUUGCAAUUUUUAUCUCUACAGUGUUGCCCAGGCUGAGAGCCCAUGCCAGGGUGGCAUGGCAGCAGACAGAAUAGCACACAAGACACAGGAACAAGCGGCGUUGAGUAGAAUUUAAUGACUCGGGACCCAAGACAAACACCAACUUUAUACAAAGACAGAGCAAGACUGAGGCCUCCCUGGGAAUGGGCCCAGGACAGCCUCAUUUGGUUACAGCAAUUCCAAGCAUGGAUAAAAGGGAACAGGGAGCCAAACAUUUAAAUAGGAGAUGCUACUGGCAGUGGUUCCUCACCCCAAGGGAAGUGUCACAAGGGGCCAAGAAAUCCAAAACAACUCUGGGGCAGGCAGCCAAGUAGUAGGCCAAGCCGCAGUUCCAUGCCUUCCACGUAGGAGGAGAAGGCAUAGCAGCAGGUGCCUCCCAGCAGCCUUCUUUACCCAAACUGCCAGACUAAGCAAUGCUGGUGAAAGGGGUGGGUGCGGAAAUCAAGGAAACUGGGAGAUGCAUACU